rnacentral:rRNA from 2 species
AGAGUUUGAUCAUGGCUCAGAUUGAACGCUGGCGGCAGGCCUAACACAUGCAAGUCGAGCGGUAGCACAGAGAGCUUGCUCUCGGGUGACGAGCGGCGGACGGGUGAGUAAUGUCUGGGAAACUGCCUGAUGGAGGGGGAUAACUACUGGAAACGGUAGCUAAUACCGCAUAACGUCGCAAGACCAAAGUGGGGGACCUUCGGGCCUCAUGCCAUCAGAUGUGCCCAGAUGGGAUUAGCUAGUAGGUGGGGUAACGGCUCACCUAGGCGACGAUCCCUAGCUGGUCUGAGAGGAUGACCAGCCACACUGGAACUGAGACACGGUCCAGACUCCUACGGGAGGCAGCAGUGGGGAAUAUUGCACAAUGGGCGCAAGCCUGAUGCAGCCAUGCCGCGUGUGUGAAGAAGGCCUUCGGGUUGUAAAGCACUUUCAGCGGGGAGGAAGGCGAUAAGGUUAAUAACCUUGUCGAUUGACGUUACCCGCAGAAGAAGCACCGGCUAACUCCGUGCCAGCAGCCGCGGUAAUACGGAGGGUGCAAGCGUUAAUCGGAAUUACUGGGCGUAAAGCGCACGCAGGCGGUCUGUCAAGUCGGAUGUGAAAUCCCCGGGCUCAACCUGGGAACUGCAUUCGAAACUGGCAGGCUAGAGUCUUGUAGAGGGGGGUAGAAUUCCAGGUGUAGCGGUGAAAUGCGUAGAGAUCUGGAGGAAUACCGGUGGCGAAGGCGGCCCCCUGGGCAAAGACUGACGCUCAGGUGCGAAAGCGUGGGGAGCAAACAGGAUUAGAUACCCUGGUAGUCCACGCUGUAAACGAUGUCGAUUUGGAGGUUGUGCCCUUGAGGCGUGGCUUCCGGAGCUAACGCGUUAAAUCGACCGCCUGGGGAGUACGGCCGCAAGGUUAAAACUCAAAUGAAUUGACGGGGGCCCGCACAAGCGGUGGAGCAUGUGGUUUAAUUCGAUGCAACGCGAAGAACCUUACCUGGUCUUGACAUCCACAGAACUUUCCAGAGAUGGAUUGGUGCCUUCGGGAACUGUGAGACAGGUGCUGCAUGGCUGUCGUCAGCUCGUGUUGUGAAAUGUUGGGUUAAGUCCCGCAACGAGCGCAACCCUUAUCCUUUGUUGCCAGCGGUUAGGCCGGGAACUCAAAGGAGACUGCCAGUGAUAAACUGGAGGAAGGUGGGGAUGACGUCAAGUCAUCAUGGCCCUUACGACCAGGGCUACACACGUGCUACAAUGGCAUAUACAAAGAGAAGCGACCUCGCGAGAGCAAGCGGACCUCAUAAAGUAUGUCGUAGUCCGGAUUGGAGUCUGCAACUCGACUCCAUGAAGUCGGAAUCGCUAGUAAUCGUAGAUCAGAAUGCUACGGUGAAUACGUUCCCGGGCCUUGUACACACCGCCCGUCACACCAUGGGAGUGGGUUGCAAAAGAAGUAGGUAGCUUAACCUUCGGGAGGGCGCUUACCACUUUGUGAUUCAUGACUGGGGUGAAGUCGUAACAAGGUAACCGUAGGGGAACCUGCGGUUGGAUCACCU